UACGAAGGGGGCUAGCGUUGUUCGGAAUUACUGGGCGUAAAGCGUGCGCAGGCGGCUUCUCAAGUCAGGGGUGAAAGCCCAGAGCUCAACUCUGGAAUUGCCUUUGAGACUGAGUGGCUUGAGUACGAGAGAGGUGAGUGGAAUUCCCAGUGUAGAGGUGAAAUUCGUAGAUAUUCGGAAGAACACCAGUGGCGAAGGCGACUCACUGGCCCAUUACUGACGCUGAGGCGCGAAAGCGUGGGGAGCAAACAGG
rnacentral:rRNA from 1 species